AGGGGAAUAGCUGGGCCAAAUGGUGGUUUCAUUCCCAGCUUUCCAAGUAAUCUCCAUACUGCUUUCCAAAUUGGCUGAACCAAUUUUCAGUCCCACCAGCAAC
rnacentral:pre_miRNA from 1 species